AGCAUCAAGUGCAUCUGGAGCCCAAGAUGGUGGAGCUUCUAAAAGUCCAACAAGAAGCCUCUGUGUGGCACUUGGAGUUGCGAUUGCAUAAUAUCGAUGAAAUAAACGUGCAUAUGGCUCAAGUGGUGGUAGUCCUGCAACGAGGUGCUCAUCCAUAGGCGUUGUUGGAGGUGGAAGCAGAAGUGCAGGAACAGCGGCUGCAGUCAAGGUAGCAGUCUCGUAGCGAGAAACUUCCUCAUCACAAACACUUAAAAUAACGCCAGCACCAUUAGCAACAGCCCACCUUGGAGUUGCAGGCAGUAGUUGUGGAUGCUUCCCAGACCCAUGAGAAGCAGCACUUGAUGGGGGCUUGAGAUCUCCAGCAGCAUACUUUCCCAUAACACCGCCACACCAGCGGAAGUAAUCGCUUCUAAUCCCUAGUGGUGCAGCAAGCAAUAUAUCAGUGAUCCACGGAGACAAUGGUCUCAGCAGUUUUCUCUCAUGUUGUAUAGAGGGCACACCAGGUUCACUAGAGGAAGAUUCACUUGUCGAAGUGUGGCUUCCACUGGUGCUUCUAUCUGUUCCUUUGUCCUGACGAUCAACUUUGAAAAUCGGGCGGUUGUAGUGUGUUAGGAUACGUAAAAUCUCUCCACAUGCAAGAGCCCAUUGUUCAGAAUAUUCCUUCUCACUGCUUGAGCAAACCAGUGAUAUAAAAGAAGCAAAAGGUGGACUACUUUUAUCAUACUCCAGUGUUCCAUCAAUGAUGCAUGAAAUAAUUGGAUGAACUACAGCAUGCCCAUGCUCUGGGUGAUGAAGAACAAAAGUUGCUAAAACAUCAUCAAAAAGUCUGUUCUCCUUCGAUGGAUACCGGUUCCUUAUGAGCUCAGCUAUAUCUUCAGGAAAUUGUUCUGAUGUGAACUGACCAAAGUAUUUAACAUAAGCGGUAAUUUGAUCCUUCCGCUGCUCUGCAGCUUGUGGAGGAACCCAAAAUAAUGAAGAGAAAUGAAGACUAUCAAUCCACCUUUCGCUUGAAGAAGCCAUACAACUUAGAGCUUCAAGCUAGUCCCUUUAAUAUUAUAACCAGCUUAUGGCAGUUGUAGAUUUCACUAUUUUACUGUGAAGAAGACAAUAAUAAAAUACCACUUUUAUCCGGAGAUGUGAAUUGAGUAAACUGUUGAGGGUAAAUCUGGAAAAAAAUGAAGGAUUUAAGUGAAGAUAUUUUAGGGAUUUGGAGAGAAAAAAAAAUACA
rnacentral:misc_RNA from 1 species